AUGCUAGAGCCAAGAUGUCAUAUCGUGUUGGGUUGGGGGUUUCAGACAAAGUGUGAGCAGAAAGGAGUAGCACAAACAGAUAUGAUUUUCGAUCCGUCAUCGCCCGAAAAGAAGAUUAUUGAUUGUUCAACUUCAACCACGCUGUUAUGCGAGACGCCCUCUGGCUUCGCAAUUGUCUCUUGUGAUGAGCUCGACCCCAAAAUUCCAGUGGAGGACAUCUGGGCAUACCCACCACAGAAUGUCAGGCUGGUGAGCUUCAAAAAGUUUGAAGAGAAGUCUAGCGCCAUUGACCUUGCUAAGGAAAUUAUUUAUAACGAACUGUCUGAGAUGCUCACCGAGUUUUGUGGCCCUGAGCAGAAACUACUUGUUGGACGUGCUGAAUAUAAAAGAAUAAUUGAAAGGAAGCUGGGAAUAACCCGUCAGUAUGAUAAUAUUGUGGAGGAGGUGAUUUGGGUUCUAGAGAAUAUCAUGCAUACUUUAUUGCCUGAGGAAACAUCAGAGCCGAAGGAGUACCGCCGCUUCAAUGGCAAAGGAUUAAUCCUUUUCUUACGUCAAUAUGGCUUUCUUGUCAAAAACGACUGGGUUACUGAAAGCAUUGUUGAGACGGCUCGUCGCUUGUAUCAUUUUGAGUUAGAUGAACGUCAGUACUUGGAUUCAUUGUGCAGUAAAAUACAGAAAUCGGUUGACCUAUCGUCUCUCACCAAGGAUUGGAGUUCACUCAAAUUUGCAACAGCUCUGAAGUUUCUUGUUUACCCUAGACAAUCGUAUGAAGUUUGGAAACCUAGUAAGAUUUUGUCAGCUUCUGAGUUUGUGAGCAUAAAGUCCAUGAGACAACAAUACAGAGAAACGAUUAUGUCCGAGAUCAAUGUCUUGUCAGUCUACAAAGAUGUUAGUGCUCUCUACUAUGAAAAAAGGCUUGAGAUUCUGGCGGAUAUAAACCUCUUGCUGCCGUUGAGGCCAAAGGUGAUCAAAUUAUGGAAUUCUCGUUUUUUGAGAAAACUCGGUUCGACUGAUUCGCCUGCUGGCUCCAAAGUUGGAAAAGAAGCUAUUAUUGGUGUUGAUACUGAUGCAAAGCAAACGAGUGCAGCAGAAAACAUUGGUGAAACUGAGAAAAAGAAUGGCACUGAAGAAUCUGGUGCAAAGGCAGUGAAAGCAGCGGAAAACUUGGAAAAUUUUGAGCCGCCUCAGACUGCUGAUGCUAGCAACGAAAUGACUGCACGGCCUACUCGAGAAACUAGUGGAGAUGGGAUGAAGGCUGUAGACAUUGCGGGUGAAAGCAGGCAGAACGGACAGGUAUUUCCCCUUGGAGGCCACAAGAGCAAAGAACUGGAUUUCCCUGAGACGGAACCAGAUGUUACCUGUGAUGAGCAGGCUGGAGAUACUGAUGCGAAGCAAACGAGUGCAGCACAAAUCAUGGGCGUGAGACUGAGAAAAAGAAUGGCAUUGAAGAAUCUGAUGCAAAGGCAGUGA
rnacentral:rRNA from 1 species